rnacentral:lncRNA from 1 species
AAUUAAAGGAUUUAAAAGGAAAAUAAGAAAAUAAAAAGAAAAUAGAAAAAACACGGGCCAUCAGAUCUCCCUCAUUAAUUGAGGUGGCAAAUCUGAUGGCCACAAGCACACGUUCCAUCAUGCACCACAAUCAACACGUGUAAACGCUUGGUAAUCUUAAGCAAAGGCUAAGAUUAAAAUAUUCAAAUGAGAUUAAAUGGUUGGAAGGGCGCCAAUGCACCACCGGAGCCCUAGCUCUG